rnacentral:rRNA from 1 species
UACGUAGGGUCCGAGCGUUGUCCGGAAUUACUGGGCGUAAAGAGCUCGUAGGUGGUUUGUCGCGUCGGGAGUGAAAACUCAGGGCUUAACCCUGAGCCUGCUUCCGAUACGGGCGGACUCGAGUUCGGCAGGGGAGACUGGAAUUCCUGGUGUAGCGGUGAAAUGCGCAGAUAUCAGGAGGAACACCGGUGGCGAAGGCGGGUCUCUGGGCCGAUACUGACGCUGAGGAGCGAAAAGCGUGGGGGAGCGAACAGG